UUGAAGUAUGCUUUCAAUUUUUGCACAUUCAAAACCUUGAUUUGAAGCCAUUCCCUUUUAUUUGAAAAAGGCCAAGUUUUGAAGAUUUUCGACCUUAGACUUGAGCAAACACUAAUAACUAAUUGAAAUAGAUAAGUGAAAAUUUCUUGAAGGCUUUCAUCUUGAAGUAUACUUUCAAUUUUGGCACAUUCAAAACCUUGAUUUGAAGCCAUUGCCUUUAAUUUGAUUAGGGCCAACAAGCUCACAAAUAAUUUCCCAAAAUAACUAGCAAUAUGCCAAUUGUUUAUUGGUAUGAAAACAUGGGUUAAAACCUCAAGGUACAAUGAAAUUUACCCUUCUUGAUGAUGAGAAAUUAUAGUUGGAGGAGAAAAAUAAUAAGCUUAAGUGUAGUGAAUGAAUUUUAAAAAUUCCUGUCCCUUGAGUGAUAUUACUUGUUGUCUCUUGAGGUAACCCAAGAGGCUGGGUGCAUUGAGUUCUAUAAAAAUUUUGGUAAGCUAAAACGUAUAAGCACAAGAAGAGGGAAUGAAAAAUGGACACAAUAAAUUAAUAAGGUUUGGCUAUCCUAAGUUUGCAUUUUCUCCUCAAGGCCUUCUUGAGAGUUUGAUUCCACUAUUGAUCUUCUUUAGAUAAGGAUUAAACCUCUUAUGUAACAUUGAGAACUCGUUCUUGCUCUCUUGCAGUACCUUUCCACUCAAAAGUAAUUUAAUGCUCAAUAACUCUUUCAAUCACUUAAAUGCACUUAACAACCUUCUUUCAGUUCUUGAACACGAAACAAUUGCAAUUUAAAACUUAGCUUUCAAAGAAUUAAAUGCUUUGUCUCAAGUUCUAGAGAGAGAGUAUAAAUGCUAAGAAUGCAAUGAAAUCUAGAAUAACUGUUUGUAAUUUUCUAACAUAAAAAAUAACUUGUAUUUAUAUUUGUGACAUAAAUAUGGUUGUUGAGGGUCUGUUCAAAGGCACAUAAAGUUGCUCAACUGCUUAAGUAGCCGUUAAUAGGUUUUGGAUUCCAUGUUCAUCGGUUGGAGUGUUUAUGUUUGGCAGCAAAAUCCAUUGGAGCUAAGAAAACUUGUCGUUUGAAAAAGGCACCUUUGGUGCUAAAGAAUGUCGACAUUCAAGCCUAUACCUCCAAGCGAGGGAAAUUGGGCUUCUUAAAAUCUUCUAAAAAUUCAUAACUUAGGCUACAGAAUUUGGUUUUUUAAUUCGUUUGAAGAGUUGUAACUUAUAUUUUGAAGUAUUUCAUUCUAAAGAAAAAUAUUUAAAAAGCUUCUUGUUUAAAAUUCAAUUUUAGUCCUCAAAAUUUUGUUAACUAAAAAUAGGUCAG
rnacentral:lncRNA from 1 species